AAAUAGUAAUUCUCUAUGUUCCUUCAUUCAACAGAUAUUUAUUGAGUACCUACUCUGUGUCAGACACACUCCUGCUAACAAUACAACAAUAAAUAAAACACAAAACAUGGGGAAGCCAAAAAUGCAAUAUUAGAAUCUUCUGCUGGGAAGGUAAAACGUGAAAAGGUCCCUAUGCAGGGUCUAAGAACAACAAAGGCAUUCAUGGUGAGGAUAUGGAGAAACAGAAGUCCUCAGAUGUUACUGACAGCAACAAAAACUGAUAACAACCACUUAGGAAAACAAUUUGGCAGUUUCUUUAAAAAAAAAAAAUCAAACACGAACUUACCAUAUGACCCAGCGAUCCCCUCCUGUGUCUAGUCAAGAAAAAUAAAAACAUGUCUACAUAAAGACUGGUACAUAAAUGUUCACAGCAGCAUCAUUCAAAAUAGCCAAAAAGUGGAACCAGCCCAAAUGUGUGUCAACUGGUGAAUGAGUAAACAAAAUGAGGAAUAUACCCACUCACUGGAAUACUAUUCAACAGUAAAAAGAAGCAAAAUACUGAUACAUGCUGCAACAUGGAUGAACUUCAAAGGCACCACCAAAUGAAAGUUGCCAGAUACAAAAGACACAUUGUAUGAUUCUAUUGAUAUGAAAUGUCAGUACAGAUGUUUUUAAAAGGGAGAUGGGGUGUAGGUAGAACCACCUGAAGUACACAGAUGAUAGCUUUUUGAUUUGGUACAACUAAGGUUUAUUAACCCUAACACACAUCAGCCCCCGGGAGAAAUAGCAAAUUGUUUUCUUCUUUAAUAAAUGCCUUGAAGGACAAUCCAAGGGAACAGUCCCAAAGCAGAUGUGUUGCUGCUGGGAAAAUACUCCCUGAGGAGUGUUAAAGCAGGGAUGGGCCUGCCAGGGUCUUGGCCAGAG
rnacentral:lncRNA from 1 species